rnacentral:rRNA from 1 species
AUUGAACGCUGGCGGCAUGCCUUACACAUGCAAGUCGAACGGCAGCGCGGACUUCGGUCUGGCGGCGAGUGGCGAACGGGUGAGUAAUGUAUCGGAACGUACCAUUCAGUGGGGGAUAACGCAGCGAAAGUUGCGCUAAUACCGCAUAUUCUGUGCGCAGGAAAGCAGGGGAUCGCAAGACCUUGUGCUGAUUGAGCGGCCGAUAUCAGAUUAGCUAGUUGGUGAGGUAAAGGCUCACCAAGGCGACGAUCUGUAGCGGGUCUGAGAGGAUGAUCCGCCACACUGGAACUGAGACACGGUCCAGACUCCUACGGGAGGCAGCAGUGGGAAUUUUGGACAAUGGGCGCAAGCCUGAUCCAGCCAUGCCGCGUGAGUGAAGAAGGCC